ACUCCUACGGGAGGCAGCAGUGGGGAAUAUUGGACAAUGGGCGAAAGCCUGAUCCAGCCAUGCCGCGUGUGUGAAGAAGGCCCUCGGGUUGUAAAGCACUUUCAGUGAGGAAGAACGCUUGUGGGCUAAUACCCUGCAAGGAAGACAUCACUCACAGAAGAAGCACCGGCUAACUCCGUGCCAGCAGCCGCGGUAAUACGGAGGGUGCGAGCGUUAUCCGGAUUUAUUGGGUUUAAAGGGUCCGUAGGCGGAUUAAUAAGUCAGUGGUGAAAUCCCAUCGCUUAACGAUGGAACUGCCAUUGAUACUGUUAGUCUUGAAUGAGGGUGCAGUGGUUGGAUGUGUAGUGUAGCGGUGAAAUGCAUAGAUAUUACACAGAACACCGAUUGCGAAGGCAGAUCACUAACCCUAAAUUGACGNUGAGGGACGAAAGCGUGGGGGAGCGAACAGGAUUAGAUACCCUGUAGGCUCUG
rnacentral:rRNA from 1 species